AGGACGAACGCUGGCGGCGUGCUUAACACAUGCAAGUCGAGCGGAAAGGCCCUUCGGGGUACUCGAGCGGCGAACGGGUGAGUAACACGUGAGUAAUCUGCCCCUAGCUCUGGGAUAGCUCCGGGAAACCGGGAUUAAUACCAGAUACGACCACUUUAGACAUCUGUUGUGGUGGAAAGAAUUUUGGCUAGGGAUGAGCUCGCGGCCUAUCAGCUUGUUGGUGAGGUAACGGCUCACCAAGGCGACGACGGGUAGCCGGCCUGAGAGGGCGACCGGCCACACUGGGACUGAGACACGGCCCAGACUCCUACGGGAGGCAGCAGUGGGGAAUAUUGCGCAAUGGGCGAAAGCCUGACGCAGCGACGCCGCGUGGGGGAUGAAGGCCUUCGGGUUGUAACCCUUUCAGCAGGGACGAAGCGAAAGUGACGGUACCUGCAGAAGAAGCGCCGGCUAACUACGCGCCAGCAGCCGC
rnacentral:rRNA from 1 species